AUGUGUAUGUUCUGUGUAUAUUUAUUAUGUUUAUAUAAAAACACACACAUACAUUAGAUAUUUUGAAAAUAUUUACAUGUAUUUGCAUGUCUACAUUUAUAUUCAUAUAAUUUAUAUUAUAAAUAAAUAUAUUUAAUAUAUAAAAAUAACAUUUUUAUAAAAUAUAUACAUGCAUAUGUGUGUAUUUAUAUAUGCAUAAUAAAUAAACUCAGUACACAUACAUAUUUUAUGUAAACAAAAACUUUUUAAUCGUUUGACAGCAUUAAUCUGAAUCAAAUCAGAAUCAAACUGAAUCAAGAGCUUGUACUAGGAAUCAAAUCAAGAAAUGUGUAUCAAUACCCAGCCCCCAUUUGAACAUGUUUCCAAUCCAUUUCAGGUCGAAGGGGUGGUGUUGCCAAAGGCAAGGGUGGCUUUAUGCACAUGUAUGCCAAGAAUUUCUAUGGCGGGAAUGGUAUUGUUGGUGCCCAGGUGAGAUGCACGCAUCAUAGCUUGCAACAAUAUUACAUCAGGCAUUUCUAAAUCUAAAUUUCACUGUUUUGAAGGUUCCUCUUGGGGCAGGUGUGGCCCUGGCAUGCCAGUAUCAGGGUAAGAAUGAGGUUUGUGUCACUCUUUAUGGGGAUGGAGCUGCUAAUCAGGGCCAGAUCUUUGAGUCGUUUAACAUGGCUGCUUUGUGGAAACUCCCCUGUAUUUUCAUCUGUGAGAAUAAUAAAUAUGGCAUGGGGACAUCAGUGGAAUGGGCCUCAGCCAGCACAGACUAUUACAAGAGAGGAGACUACAUUCCUGGUCUGAGGGUAACUUUUUUUUAUAGUUUUUAUUUUUAUUUUUUAUAGCUGCCUCAUCCUGUUUUUAUGUUCACUAGUGCAUGCAAAUUUAUACAGAAGUACAUAAAAGGCACAUAAGUCAAGCAAAUAAGUCAAGCCUGUUCCUUUGUUUUCUCCAGGUAGAUGGUAUGGAUGUUCUCAGCGUGAGAGAGCAACCAGGUUUGUGGCAGAUUAUUGCAGAUCUGGAAAGGUAAAAGAAAAGUGGCAUAUUUUACUUGCUUAACAAGUCAAGGAGAGGUAAUAGAUUUAAAGGAAGUAGUUCACCCUAAAAAGAACAUUUGCUGAAAAUUUACUCACCCUCAGGCCGAACGAGAUGAAGAUGAAUUUUUUUUUUCAUCAGAACAGAUUUGGAUAAAUUUAGCAUUACAUCACUUGCUCACCAAUGGAUCCUCUAGAGUGAAUGGGUGCCGUCAGAAUGGGAGUCCAAAAAGCUGAUAAAAACAUCACAAUAAUCCACAAGUAACCAACAAGACUCUAUGACUCUUAAACUAAUGUCUUAUGAAGUAAAAAGCUGCAUGUUUGUGAUAAACAAAUGUAUCAUUAAGACGUUUUAAUACCACAACAAUCCAUAAUAACAGUUUCCUCCAGAGAAAAAAUCAAAUCACAUCAAAAUCCACCAACAUAUUUGAAUAAAACUGUUUGUGCUUUGUACUUAUCUGUUUAU
ensembl:lncRNA